rnacentral:rRNA from 1 species
UACGGUAGGUGGCGAGCGUUGUCCGGAUUUACUGGGCGUAAAGAGCGCGCAGGCGGCUGGUCAAGUCCGAUGUGAAAGCUCCCGGCUUAACUGGGAAAUUGCAUCGGAAACUGAUCGGCUGGAAGGUGGGGAGAGGGUAGCGGAAUUCCUGGUUGUAGCGGUGGAAAUGACGUAGAUAAUCAGGGAAGGAAACACCCGGUGGGC